rnacentral:rRNA from 1 species
GACGAACGCUGGCGGCGCGCCUAACACAUGCAAGUCGAACGAGCGAGAGAGAGCUUGCUUUCUCGAGCGAGUGGCGAACGGGUGAGUAACGCGUGAGGAACCUACCUCAAAGAGGGGGACAACAGUUGGAAACGACUGCUAAUACCGCAUAAGCCCACGACCCGGCAUCGGGUAGAGGGAAAAGGAGCAAUCCGCUUUGAGAUGGCCUCGCGUCCGAUUAGCUAGUUGGUGAGGUAACGGCCCACCAAGGCGACGAUCGGUAGCCGGACUGAGAGGUUGAACGGCCACAUUGGGACUGAGACACGGCCCAGACUCCUACGGGAGGCAGCAGUGGGGAAUAUUGCACAAUGGGGGAAACCCUGAUGCAGCGACGCCGCGUGGAGGAAGAAGGUCUUCGGAUUGUAAACUCCUGUUGUUGAGGAAGAUAAUGACGGUACUCAACAAGGAAGUGACGGCUAACUACGUG